rnacentral:lncRNA from 1 species
UGGACAAAACUAUGGGUCAUGACUAUUGAAGCACUAACUAAAAAUGCACGUUACUGUUUUAUCUUUCAAAAGACAAACUAACUUCCCCAAUUAUUGAAUACCCCCUAAGGCUAGUCCCAACAGUUAGAGCAAAGAACACUUGGGACUGAUUUGGCCAUUGUAAAGCCAUAAUCCCAAAAAUGGCUGCAUUGAGCUUAACAUUACAAACAGAACACAAAACACGCAUGAAAGGGCCAGAUAAAACAACACUUGACUGAAUUUCACAACCUGUAGCUACCAAUUAUUACUCCCCUAAAAUUUUUUGCUCAAUGGCCUAUAUGCUUGACUAAUCACAAUCGACUUGAGAUUAACACUUGAUUUGUUAAACAAAUCAUGUGAUAUGGAAACAAUAACACUAAGCUAAAGAGCCAAGACAUGUUGAGGCCAUUUCAUUCAUUCUGAAAAUCAAAACUUCACACAUGGCUUUAGAUUCAGAAAAUGUGUACCUGGAAAGCAAAAUAAGAGAAAAAGAUGGGGAUCAGCAGCAGAAUAGUAUCAGUAGAUAAACAGCAACACCAGCUCGAACCCCAGGAAUGAUGUAUACCAAACUUCAAGUAAAUUGUUGAACAGCCAACAAACCCGCUAAAAACUUUAAACCAAAAGCUUUUGAUAACUGAAUUCAAUCCAUUUUUAUUCAAUAGCUUGAAGGAAUUUCAGAGGUUGAGAGGAAACCAAAAUUGCUAAAAAGCAAACCAAUAAAACAGUAAAGAAGAACUCUCAACCGUUGGUAUUUUCAGUUCUUUUUCUCUCUUCAUCCCCCUCCUCUACAGAAUGAAAAAUGAACUUAUAUAGACCUGCCUAGGGCAACUCUAAGGCAACCAACCAAUUCCUCAUUUACCCUCCUUGCCUUGAGUGUUUUUUUUACCCUUUUAACCCUCUUUCAAAAAUAUCUCCCAUCCCAGCUCUUAUGUCAUUCUGUAGAAGCUUCUAUUCUAACAGAGUUUUAUUCCCUCACAUCCCAAAAUUCCUAAAUUGACCUCUAACCAACUAACUAUUACAGUCUCUGCCCUUUCCUUUGAGACCCCUUUAAGUUUCAAACCUGACAAUUAACCCCUCUACUGAUUCAAGAAGAGUGACAAACAGGACUAAACGAACACAAAAGGCAUUGCACAUAUCAAAAUGAAAUUCUCGGAAGACCUCAAAAAAGAACUUGAACAAUUUCAAAGUUGUAAAGAAGAAACAAAUUUUGCCUUGAAUCAAACAUGAUCAUGAACUUCACAAGAACACUAAGCCAAUUAAACAUUGUCCAUAUUCAACUAGAAAAGGAAAUCAGCAAACUUAUUUAACUAACACAUGACUUAACGAUUUUAGACCUAAAUUAACUAAAACGACUAAUGAUCUAUUAAUCAAUUAUGAACUUAAACAGGGAAGAAGAAUAGAAAAAGGAACACGAACAAAAGUACAAAAAUACCUGAGGGUAGAAUCAAAAACAAAACUCACUAAAGAAGCCAACGACCAAGAUUACUUCGAAUUAAACGGAAACUGAGGAUAAUCAAUUGCUUUUUGACAAGAACAUCCCAUUAGCCUUUGUUCCCGGCUAAUUCGAAACUUGAAACUUCCCAGGAAGCUAAGCGUGGAUUCAUGACUUGGGGGACGACAUCAAGGUUUUCCUUAGAGUUUAGCCGUUAAAUCGACAUGAGGGAAGGCUAAUGGUGCAGGGACUUGAGUUUUUGAGCGAUUUGGGACAGAUUAAGUUUUUUUUUGGUUUGGUUUUCGAUUGAAGAUUCAAGAUGCACCAGUGGGAUUCGAAGGAACUAGGUUAGGGAUUCUGGAAGAGGACGGGAAGAGGGUCUUGGGGUGUUAAUUUGGGGCCAAUUGGAUGAGUUAGGGUUUUGGUCGUUCUCUUUUAUUCAAGAUUCGAGAGGUUGGGCUGGGAUUCGAGGGAGGGGGUUUGGAGAUUUGGAAAGAGGAGAAGGAGAGGAAUCUAUGGUGUAAAAAUGGGGCCGAUUGGAGCAACGCCGCCAGCGGAGGCGAUUUCCGGUAGGCGACUCACGGCGGAUACGGUGAGGGGUUCUCUGAGGGUGUGUGGAGACGAUGAGAGGGGGUAGGGGGUGCGUUCAGACAGUUUUAUACUUGAAUACCCCAGCUUCCCCAUCGUUGGAUAUGGAAAACCUCGACGACCAGGAUUCGUUUUAAAAGAAACGGCGUCGUUUGGUCGUCCAAGGAGACUAGGUCGGGUAAGGAACGGUUUUUGGGCUGGGAAUCCGAUCUCAAAAAGGGGGAAGGUUUGGGAUGGGGUAUUUUAAAUAACAUUUGGCCCAAACUGACUUCUUAUUCCUUUGUUUUCUUUUCUUUUUACUUCUUUUUUUCUAAUUUCUUUCAAAUUAAAAAUAAAAAUAAUCCUAAAUUAAUUCCUAAUCAAAUUAUGCUAUCCAAUUACAUUAAAUAACUCUAAAUAACAAUUACCACAAAUAAUUAAAACCAAAUUAAGGAAAAACUAUCAAAAUUCAAAAUUAAAAUUAAAAAGUGCAAAAUAAAUUAUUUUUUUGUGAUUUUUCCAUUUUUAUAAAACAACUAAUUUGUUAAUUAAUCCUAAAAUGAAAAGUUAAAUCCUAAAUGCAAAUGCAACAUAUUUUUGUAUUUUUUUUCAUAAUUUAAACAAAGUAAACAUGCGUAGACAAAUGCAAAAAAUGCUACAAAAAUCUACGAAACUGCAAAUAAUGGGAAAAUUAUUCUGUUUUGAAUUUGUGGGAAUAAUUCAUAUAGGGCAAAAAUCACGUGCUCACACUCCUUUCCUGCGUUAAGUCCUCUAUCAUUUUAGUUUUGACGCUCUUGCUCAAAUUCCCGCUCCAAUUCUCUAGUUUUACCACAGUCAUGACUGCUACAUCUGGGUCCACUCGGUAAGGAAAAGGGAGUUCUGCCUCUAGUUCCUGCCUAGUUGGCGAUGUGCUAUCGGUGCCAGGCGAGUCAUCCUCUGGGAAUUGUUUUUCGAGGAGGGAUCUUCUGUUAGAAAAGUCUCCCAUUGUUCAAGGUCAUUGGGAAUCUACCUCAAAGUUUAUUUCUUUAAUAGGAGAAGAGAACCUUGAGUCAGCGAGGAUGGAUUGUGGAUGGGGGGAAAAGGUAGUAUUGCAGGUACCUUCCCCGGAAGAGAGCAUCGUGGACCAUGCCGAGGGGUUUUUGAACGUGUAUACGUACCCUUUCACGCUGGCCCCCUUGAUAGGGUUUUGCUCAACUUCUGUCAAAAAUAACAGGUUACCUUGGCGCAGAUUCACCUUUCAUUUUGGCAGAUAGUAUUGAUGAUGAGGCUCUUUGCAGAGAAAGUAGGGCUUGAAUUCACUCUUAGUCAUCUUAUCAGGUUAUACCGGCCUUUUCACCAUCGAGGAUUGCUAACCCUAUGAUGCCGAUCCACCACGGCUUUCGUUAUUGAUGAUAAAGAAAACGGAGAUCGGGGGUGGAUGAGCCGAUUCAUCUGAGUACGGACUAUCGAUAUUAUCCCCGUGGAGUUUCUGCCAUUUCCUUAGGAAUGGAAUUUUACACGUAAGCGGUACACUCGUGCCUUUGUAGUUUUUUUAUUAUGGCGAAGUUGGGGUCCGUAAAUGUGCCUUCCUUUCCCUUUUUGUAGCAAUUUCAUGGAUGCCAUGCGAGGUCCCUAGCUUGCCGGAUUGAGCUCGGAAGUUGGCGACCUACUCGACUUAUAAUGAGCAUAAGUGGAGAUCUUUGUCUAGGGGUAGAUGGGAGGACAAACACCAUGAUACGUGCUAUAUGAUUUGUUCCCCCUUCCCCUCCCCCUUUUUUUUGAAGGGCACUCUCUCUUUCUGCGUUAACUUUGUCAUCGUAGGCAUUGGGGAGUUCUUUGAAGCGAGAUCAUGCCCUCUAGGAGAGGGAGGAGGAUCACUGGCUUUAGGACCGAAGGAUAAUAAUAAUAACAAUAAGCAAAAAAGGUAUUUGCAGAACGACAGUGAUCAUAGCAAGACGAGUCUGGUCCGGAGGCUCAAAGAGGGCAUAUCAGCCGAACCUGCAGCACCCGAGUUCUCUGGCUUUAGGAAAACUGUCCCUCCUUCGCUGCCAUCUCCAUUAACUGUCGAAGGUACUUCGAGGAAUGAGGGAUCCCUGCCGCUGACUUCUUCUCCCAUCAAAGGUACUUCAAGGGACGUUCGAAGCUAUGGGCCACAUAUGUCGGAUGACCGUAUACCAAUCGGGAGUGGUUCUAUUGGGGUUGACAAAGCUGGGCUAGCAAAUGAGCGUUCGACUAUCGAGGGAGCUCAGCGGUUCUACUCCGCGGUGAGAUUUAGCUGAUCGCAUUGGGUUUAUAGUUUUUGCAAUUUUCGCCUCUCUUAUCACAUUUCUCUUACACAGGCUUUUAACAAGCUCAAAUCUGAGCUGCUUCACCGUGAGGUCAGGCUGCUAAAAUCCGUAGAUAGGGAGAAAACGCUCAGGCUUCUUUGCAAUGAAAAGGAAGACGAGUUGGCACACUUGCGGUAUGAGGAGGGUCGUAGUUUAAAUUACGAAAGCUACCUCGAGAGUAGGUAACUUCUAUUUCAAGAGAGUGCACGUUUCUUCUUCUAUUUUCUGAGGCUAACGUUUCGUUUACUUCAGUUGCAGAAAAAGACAAAAGACCUGGAAUGCCUUAGGAACGAAGUUGGUCGAGCCAAGCGCAAGCGUGAUGAGCUAAGGGCUCGGGUGGACACCCAGAUAUCGGCUAAGAAAGAUGUUUUGGCCAAGGCUUCUGCCCUCAAAGUGCAACUUCACAACGCUCACGAGAACAUCUUGGUUCAAAUAGACAUGAUUUCAAGACUCGAGUCUGAGCUUCUGAAGAUGAAGGACGAAGUUGUGGAUGCCCGGGCUGAAGCCAAAAUAAUCCAAGCAAAGGCUGAUAAGAAGGUGGCUACCUAUUUGAAGGAUGCUUCUGAUGCUCGUGCUGAGCUAAGGGGGGAUCUCGACCAGGAGAUUAGGAAUAAAGAGUAUGCGAGGUGCAAAUCUCGGAGGGAAACCCUCGAGGAAAUUCAUGCUAUGAGCUUCGAUCUCUCGGAAGAGAUAAAGCAGGCAAAGGCGGAAGAUUAUGAUGCUAAGUUCCUUUUGUCUAAUGCCGAAGAUGACGAGAAAGAAGCCGACGGACCAUAGUCCCCAAGGGGGACGUAGAUUAGAUCAGGCCUUUCCUUUCUUGCUUUGUGUAGAGUGCUUUCAAAGAACUUUGUAAAUGAAACAUGUAUUCCCUCGGAUAUAUGUAUAAAAAGGAAGCCUUGCGAUUUUAUUUUUGAUGCAUUUCCCUUUGCCUUGAUUUUAUCUAGAUGAAUUGAUCUUCGAGUUAAAAAGGAAUCCCUAGAUUCAUGGUAUGUCCCUGGGCUUAUUGGGCCAGCUCGUACGCUCUUGCGCGCUUGGUCAGUACGACCUUUUAGUAUAAGUCGGUGUUUGAGAUUUUAUGCUUUUGCUCUUAGGCAUAUUUAAUUAACUAUUUCGGGUUCAGUUUUUGAGUCGGGUUUCGACUCGAGCUCAUUUGACCCUUAUAUUUUUGAAUUAAAGCUGGCCCUUACGCUCUUAUGCGUUGGGUCGGUACGACCUCUUGCAUGGGCUGAUAACAGUGGCUCUUACGCAUGGGGUCGGUACGACCUCUUAUAUGGGCUGGUGACAGUGGCUCUUACGCAUGGGUUGGUACGACCUCUUAUAUGGGCUGGCGAUAGUGGCUCUUACGCAUAGGUCAGUACGACCUCUUAUAUGGGCUGGCAACAGUGGCUUUUACGCAUGGGUUGGUAGGACCUCUUAUAUAGCCUGGCAAUAGUGGCUCUUACGCAUGGGUCGGUAUGACCUCUUAUAUGGGCUUAAUUUUUCCCUCGUUAAGGACUUUUUGAAAUUGUGUUUGCCUUAUUCUUCGACAGUUCGAUAGAAACCUCAAUUGUGAGUCGUUAUAUGGCGAUGAUCGAGCAUCCCGGGAGGUUUGGCUCGGUGGCCGAGUAUCUCGAAGCCUAUAGUUUGGAGCAGACAUGAUCGAAGCUCUUUUUCCUAUAUCGAGGGUAGCCCAUUUAACCGGUUCUUUUCGAAGUAUUUUUAAAGUAAUUAAAGGCCUAUGAUUUUAUAGCGAUGGUCGGGCAUCCCUAAGUCACAUUAGUUUGGCUGGUACAGCCUUGUGACUGUAGUCAUUUGUGUUUGGCCAGAUCCUUUCAGUCCCUGAGUGAAGUAGUUUUGGUGUCUAUGUCGAGGGUAUGCCUUUUUAGGGGUCUUACAAGUUCGAUAUAUAGCCUUAGCUUUGAGAUCGGGAUUAUGUCUUUCGUAAGGUCUUAUAAGUUUUAAAUGCAUUUGAGGUCUUACAGUUUUGGUUUCUUGGUACAAGUAUGGUUCAUGCCUUACUUUAGGUCUUACAGAUAUUGAUAUUAUCUUAUAUAGGUCUUACGAGACUGAGGUUGCCCGCAUGUGGUAUUAUGGCCUCGAGUUUUGAUAAGUCGAUGGGGGUGGCGAUUGGCGGCAAUCCCCGAGUCAUCGAGGGUCUCUUGGCUCAGUAACCAUUACUUGUAAGCUUGGUAUUGCCUCAUUGAGGGCUUACGAUUUCGGGGUUUCUGGCCCGGAGGUCAUGCGGCCUUGAGUUUUCGACGCCAGUCCCCGAGUGUUCGGGACGUUUUUGGCUCUAGAGCUAUUUUGUGAUCUUGAUGUUUCCUCAUUGAGGGCUUACGAGUUUGAAGCUCCAACCCGGGGUUCGCAUUGUUUUGAGUUGUUGACGUCAGUCCCCGAGUGUUUGGGACAUUUUUGAUAAAGGAGCCAUUUUUUGCAAAAAUACCGAGCUUCUUUGAAGCGUGAAAUGCUUUGGAAAGUAUUAUUUGAUUACUUGGUACAAGUAUAUAUGUUUUUGCUACUAAGGGCUCGGUUAUUCUAUACGGACAUGGUUCGUUCGACCGUUUGGCCUAGUACAUUAUUUUCCUGUCGGGACCCCAUUUAGCGCAUCUUGGCUUCUUUGAGUAGGUGACCUUUUGUGGGAUGCCCCCCAGUAUUCGAGGUUGAUUGCAAAAGAAGCCUUGAAUACUUGAUGAGUCUUCCUUAGGUAACAUAUAGAUGUUGCCUCAUUAAAAACCUUGUCGGUAAAACCCUUCUUGGGACAAAAAUCUGGUCGAAGGAAAAGACUGCAACGCACGCUUUUGGAACCUAAGGCUUUCGAGUUGGAAAGCGCUUUGGCCGUUUCAAUCAGAUAUAUGCAUUCAGGUUAGUAUAAAAUGUAACUGAAAAAGGGAGAUGGCCAUACCUUAGUGCUGACGGAGCUUCGGAUCUCGAUGUGAUUCAAUCGUUUAUUAUGGUACGACCCUUCAUUUUGUUCAGUCGGGCGUAGCCGAGAAUGUAGCUUGUUGUCGAUAUUUUAUUGUUUGCUUACCCUUUGGCUCCUUUGAAUGUGUAGGUACUGGUGUUGGCAUCACAUCGUGAACCGCGAACAUUUCUCUUGUCGCAUGUUAUUCUCCGUAGACAGUUUUUAUCCCAUCCUUUGUUAGGAAUUUCAUUAUUUGAUGGAGGGUGGAGGGUACUGCUCUCAUCAGUGUAUCCAUGGCCUUUCGAGCAAGACAUUGUAUCUCAUGUCUCCUUCGAUGUUAUAGAAUUUUGCAUUUUGGGUUGUGCCGGCCACAUUGAUUGGGAGGGUGAUUUUCCCUUUUGUUGUUUUGCUCGCCAUGUUGAAUCCGUUGAGGACUCGAGAGGCGGGCACGAUUUGGUCAAGUAGUCGAAGUUGCUCUACCAACCUCGACCUGAUAAUGUUGGCCAAGCUACCCGGAUCCACAAGUACACGUUUAAUUUGAAAUGUAUUUACAAGGAAAGAGAUUACCAGUGCGUUGUUGUGAGGCUGAGACAAGGUGAUAUCCUCAUCGAUGAAUGUGAGAGUAUUCUCAGGUAUGUAACCCCGAGUUCGCUUUUCCCUGGUGAUGUAUAUUUUUAUUCUUUUGAUCAUGGGUUCUUGUGGGGCAUCGAUGCUUCCCAAGAUCAUGUGGAUGACAUGUUGUGGCUCAUUUGUUUCGUUCUUCUCGGCCNNNNNNNNNNNNNNNNNNNNNNNNNNNNNNNNNNNNNNNNNNNNNNNNNNNNNNNNNNNNNNNNNNNNNNNNNNNNNNNNNNNNNNNNNNNNNNNNNNNNNNNNNNNNNNNNNNNNNNNNNNNNNNNNNNNNNNNNNNNNNNNNNNNNNNNNNNNNNNNNNNNNNNNNNNNNNNNNNNNNNNNNNNNNNNNNNNNNNNNNNNNNNNNNNNNNNNNNNNNNNNNNNNNNNNNNNNNNNNNNNNNNNNNNNNNNNNNNNNNNNNNNNNNNNNNNNNNNNNNNNNNNNNNNNNNNNNNNNNNNNNNNNNNNNNNNNNNNNNNNNNNNNNNNNNNNNNNNNNNNNNNNNNNNNNNNNNNNNNNNNNNNNNNNNNNNNNNNNNNNNNNNNNNNNNNNNNNNNNNNNNNNNNNNNNNNNNNNNNNNNNNNNNNNNNNNNNNNNNNNNNNNNNNNNNNNNNNNNNNNNNNNNNNNNNNNNNNNNNNNNNNNNNNNNNNNNNNNNNNNNNNNNNNNNNNNNNNNNNNNNNNNNNNNNNNNNNNNNNNNNNNNNNNNNNNNNNNNNNNNNNNNNNNNNNNNNNNNNNNNNNNNNNNNNNNNNNNNNNNNNNNNNNNNNNNNNNNNNNNNNNNNNNNNNNNNNNNNNNNNNNNNNNNNNNNNNNNNNNNNNNNNNNNNNNNNNNNNNNNNNNNNNNNNNNNNNNNNNNNNNNNNNNNNNNNNNNNNNNNNNNNNNNNNNNNCCAAGAUCAUGUGGAUGACAUGUUGUGGCUCAUUUGUUUCGUUCUUCUCGGCCGCCUCUCUUUCCCGGAACUGAUUUUUGGCCCUGUCGCUGAGGAAUUUUCGGAGGUGACCUUUGCUGAGUAGUCGGGCUACUUCUUCCCAGAGCUGGUGGCAAUCCUCGGUCCUGUAUCCGUGCGUGUUGUGAAAUUCACACGCUAAGUUAUGGUUCCUUUGUGAAGGAUCUGAUUGUAGAGGCCUUGGCCACCUAGUGUCACUGCUUUUACUUAUGGCGAACACGAUAUCUGAAAUAUCGAUGUUGAAGUUGUAUUUCGACAAGCGGGGUGCCUCCGUCGGCCCUACAUGUCUAUCGAACCUGGCUCUGCUGACGAGUCCCCGAGGGUUCUUCCAUCAUUCCGUUCUUCGAUCAUUAUGGGGCAUGUUACGCCUCGGGGAAUUUCUCCUAUCUUCGGUGUAUGGCUGUUACCUUUCUUUGUUUGGAUUUGGCUCCUUUGCUAGAAGCCUGCUUGGGUAUACCGAGCCCGAGGGGGCUCCUAAUUGCUCGUCCUCAACCCUAAUUUUCGUUUGAUAUCGGUUGUGAACAUCCGACCAAGUCACGACGGGGUAUUCAACCAAAUUCUGCUUUAGCUGUUUCGAAGCCACCGAGCUUUGUUCGUUCAAACCUUGAGUGAAGGCUUGCACUGCCCAGUCAUCAGAAACUUGUGGUAAUUCCAUUCGUUCCAUUUGAAAGCGAGAUACGAACUCUCGCAGUAUCUCAUUCUCCCUCUGCUUGAUCUUGAAGACGUCAGAUUUCCUUGUAGCUACUUUGAUGGCACCAGCGUGCGCCUUUAUGAAAGAAUCUGUCGGCAUGGAAAAUGAAUCUAUUGAGUUUGGGUACAGGUUGUGGUACCACGUCAUUGCCCCUUUAGAAAGCAUUUCUCCGAACUUCUUCAGUAGGACGGACUCGAUCUCGUCGUCCUUUAGGUCGUUGCCCUUCACUGCGCAAGUGUAAGCAGUAAAGUGUUCAUUGAGGUCUGAGGUUCCAUUGUACAUCGAAAGGUCUGGCAUUCUGAACUUCUUUGGAAUGGGUUUUGGAGCGGCUUCAUGUGGGAACGGCUUCUGUACGAACUUUUUUGAAUCCACACCUUUUAAGAUCGGGGGUGCGCCCGAAAUUUGGUCGACCCUGGAAUUGUAGGUCUCAACCUUCUUAUAGUUGGCUUCUAUCUUUUUCUCGCCCGACUCGAUCCUCUUUGUAAGGUCCUCAAGUAUCUUUACGAUGGUGGGGUCGGCUGCUGACACGUUGUUACUUGAUCUUUCUGGUGCCUGUUCGGUCCAAUGGGCUGUUCCCAUGGCCGCUGUACUUGGGUUUUUUUUGUAGCUCUAUAGCUGAGCGAUUGCCAGUUUUUGUACCUGCAACAUCUCAAAAUUAACUUGAAGUAUGGCCUUCUAUUCCUCCUGAGCUGGGGUUUUUUGGACUUCCUGUUGAUCUCCUUGAUAUAUGCUCAUGUUAGUGUGGGAGCUUAUAUCGACGUGUUGGGCAUCGCGUGAGACCGCAUCCACAGGAAUUGGUUCUGGUGCAUUCAGAGGGUUUCGUGGUGGUACACCAACACCUGGAACAUCCACACCAUUCUCUUCAUGGUCCUCAAGAUUGUUGUUUACUAAGUUAGACAUUUUUACCUGAAAUCAAUGAUCUUGGACAAGAAAAAGUGUGAAAGGUAACCUGCGUUAUGUAGUUAAACCAGCAAGAAAAUAAUCACUAUUAUUUUUAGCCCCAAGGUGGGCGCCAAACUAUUUACCGUGAAAAUGGUAAUGACAAUUAAAUUUGAUUUUGUGGUUCUAAAAAUACGUGAUCUAUUUUUAUGCUAGUUUUUAGGCAAUGGAUGCUAAAGUAAGGGAUUAGAAAGCAAGAUUAUAGCUUAGAGACAAUGUGAUAAUCAAACCACAUGGCUGGAGAUCGGGGCCUCGAGCUAUCGUAUAUGAGGCCUCGAGGUCGAGUUGGGUGGCCAUCUUAGAGUAGUCAAGAGAGGAAUAACAGUUACGAGAGCUACGAUGAUGGCUCUUUAUGACCAAUGAUAAGUAAUAAAUGAAGAACAAUAGAUAGAACACAAUGAAUAUAAGCAAUAAAUGGUGUAAUGAGAGCAAGAGAAUAUGUUAGAGAGUAGAGAGAAUGUUCUUGUCUAUUCAAUGUUGUGUAUCCGAUGCUCUACAAAAUAAUAAGGAUCCCCUUUAUAUAUGAGGGGGUAUCCCAGCAUAGUACAAAUACAUUUAUUACAAAGAAAAAAGGAUGGUACAACCAUUUAAUGCCAUGGUACGGGUUUGAACUAGCCUAUUAGACUUUGUCAGUUCUAUUUACGCGCCUCGGGAACUCCCCACUCUUUUACCAUAACCAUUGGUCUGUACUACCCCGAGGUCGAGCGUCGAUAUCCCUCGGGGGGUGAAUCUCGAUCAUAGUCUCAAACCUUCAAAACGUGCUUACGAGGCAUCGUAACAAUAGAAAAUUGGACCCUCCGAAUUUACCUCAUACAACAAUAUAUGCAAAAAGAAGGUGUAGAUUAUUUGUAGAUUUAUACGGAUGUUCUUUUUUAAUCAAUUUUGAUUUUCUAUUAUUGUGCUUUUCACUUCUUUAUGCGCCCUGACUAAAAAAAUUUAUCUAUCUGCUGGCAAUUUUAAAAUCAUAUCCGCUUGUGCCGUUGAAAAAAGAACUUUUGGGGCUAUAAUAUAUACAAAAAUCAGGUCUAGAUUCUUUAUAUAUUUAUACAUAAAUGCUUUUGAACUCAAUUAUGAUAUUCUGCUAUUUAUAGCUUUGCAUGCCCUAACUAAAAAUAUUAUAUCUUUUUGCUGCCACGUCGAAAGCAUGAUCCGCUUGUGCCAUUGGAAAGAUUACUUAAUGUAUAUGAAAAUAAGUUCUAGAUUCUUUAUAGAGUUAAAUAUGUAACGACACGUCCGGUCGUUUUGAGAGUAUUAGCCUUGUUUCCCUAUUUACUGCUCAUUUUGUAUUUUAUAGCUGUUAUAUGACUUGCCAAGAUAGUCGGUUCCAAUUCGGAGGGAUUUUAGAAUGAAUUGAGACACUUAGUCUUAAGGUUGGAAAUUUAAGUUAAAAUGUUUGAUUGGAUGUUGACUUAUAUGUAAACAACUCCGAAAUAGAGUUUUGAUGGUUCCUUCAACUUUGUAUUGUGAUUCUGGUCUUAGGAGUGUGUACGAAUUGUGAUUUGGAGGUCCGUAGUUGAAUUAGGCUUGAAACAACAAAAGUUGGAAAUUUGAGGAUUUUUGGAAAGUUUGGCGGGGAGUGGACUUUUUGAUAUCGGGGUUGAAAUUCUGACUCCGGAAGUGGGAGUAGGUCAAAUGUGACUUGUGUGCAAAAUUUGGGGUCAACCAGAUGUGUUUUGAAAGAUUUCGGCGUCACUUGUAGAAGUUGGAAUUUCUUAGUUUCAAUAGGCUUGAAUUGAGGUGCUAUUCAUGUUUGUGAUGUUGUUUGAUGUGAUUUGAGGGCUCGACUAAGUUUGUAUGAUAUUUUUGGAUUUGUUGGUAGGUUUGGUUGAGGUCCUGGGGGCCUCGGGUAGAUUUCAGAUGGUUAAUGGAUUGGAAAUUGGGCUUGGAAGAUGGCUAAAGCUUCAGAUGUUCUGGUGUCUUGUUUCCUUCUACGCAUUCGCGAUGGAGCUCCCGCGUUCGCGUAGAGAAUUUUGAGUGUUGUUGGAUUAUUGCCUUCGCGUUUGCGAAGUAGGUCCCCUGUUCGUGAAGGAUUGAAGUCUUAGGUCUACACGUUUGUGAUAGGGUCUUCGCGUUCGUGUAAAGGAGCAGUUUGUUGGAUCAUCAGGCAUUUAGCCUACGCGAUCGCGUAGUGGUGCACGCAUUCGCAAAUGGUCAGGCGAGGGAAGCUCCACGUUUGCGAGUGGGCCCUCGCGUUUGCAUAGAAGGUUUUUAGGAAGAAGCAUUUUUAUGCUUCACGAAUGCGAGGAAGCUUCCGCAUUCGCAAAGAAGGAAUCACUUGGGUAGAUUAAAAAUCCCAAAAUCGAGGGUUUAUGUCAUUUUUCACCAUUUGGACUUGAGAGCUCGGAAUUAGCCGAUUUUUGGAGAGAUUUUCACGUGGGUGUUUGGGGUAAGUGAUCUUUACCUAGUUUUGGUUAAUUUCCAUGAUUAUGUUAUUAAUUUCAUCACUAAAUUAGUGAUUUGGGGUGAAAAUUGGGAAAAAUUAAGGAAAAGCUCUUAGGCCGAAUUUUGGGGCUUUGAUCGAGAUUGUGGUAUCGGAUUUAAGUAAUUUUGGUAUGGGCUAACUCGUGGUUGAAUGGGUGUUCGGAUUUUGUGACUUUUACCCAAUUUCAAGAUGUGUGCCCAGGUCAACUUUUUGCGGCAAUUUUCUAAUUUCUUGUUAAAGUCUUGAUUUUAUUAAUUAAAUUAGUUUCUUAUAGUUAUAUUUAUAGUAUGAAAUUGCUUCUGACUAGAUUUGGGGCAUUCAGAGUCGGAAAGUUGAGGAAAAAACAUCCUUAUUUACUGAUUGAGCUUGGUUUGAGGUAAGUGACUUGUCUAACCUUGUGUGGGUGAAAUCCCCUUAAGAGUUGGUAUUGUUGUAACAUUUUGUGAUAUGUGAGUGUCGUGUACGCGAGGUGACGGGUGCGUACCAGGCUAAAUAUUGAAAAUCCAGUCUUUGCUAAGUAGUAACCUGUUUAUAUCUUAAAUGAGUUAUUCGAGCAUGUGUAGUUAACAUGUUUACCCUAAUAUCACAUGUCUACGUGUCUAAAUUCUUACUUGAACUCUGUGCAACAAGAUUAGUUGAAAUUCCUGUUUUUCUUGAUUUUGUAUUUAGUCUUUCAGUGUAGGAUUCCUUGCUGUAAAUUUGUUCUUCCAUCGGUUACGAGCUGUGUAUUUACUUUUGGGACUACAAGGUGGUACCUCAGGAGCUCCCCUAUUGCAUAUUUACUUUUGGGACUAUGAGGCGGUACCUCGGGAACUCCCAUGUCACAUAUUUACUUUGGGACUACGAGGCGGUACCUCGAGAGCUCCCCUGUUGAGUAUUUACUUUUGGGACUAUAAGGCGGUACCUCGAAAGCGCCCUGGUUGUUUACCCCUAUGUGUUGUGUUGUUACCUUUCUAUAAUUUCUCAUUGUUAAAUUCUCAGUUUUUUCAUUGUAUUACUAUAUCUACUGCCUUGUUUCAUUUUUAUUCCAGUAGGGCCCUAACCUGGCCUCGUCAUUACUAUAGGUACCGUUGCGGUGUACUCAUACUACUUUUCUGCACAUGUUUUGUGUGCAGACCCAGGUAACUCCUACCAGCCGCGAUAUCAGUGAGCACGUGGGGAAAUCAAGGUAUAUUUUCGAGUGUCCGCAGACCUCGGAGUCCCCCACUACCUUUACUAUGUUGUCUUUUUCUUAUUCCUCUUAGAUGCUGAUGUAUAGAGACAAUUAGUACAUUCCUUAGAGCUUGUGGCUUGUGACUACCAGGUUUUGGGAGUUCUUUAUACUUGGAGUUGUUGGUUUAUCUUGUCAUGUCGAGCGACAGUUUUCAGUAUCAUAUAUAUCUAUCGAAGUUAGUCAUUAUUUCAGUUAUUAUUUUCAGUUAUUCUGCAAUAGUUAGGCUCACCUAAUCACAGAGUCUAGGUGCCGCCACGACAUCCUACGGAGGGAAAUUGGGUCGUGACAAGUUAGUAUCAGAGCUCUAGGUUCAUAGGUGUUAUGAGUCACAAGUAGGUUUAGUAUAGUCUCGUUGAUCGGUACAGAGACCUCUAUACUUAUCAUUAGGAAGCUAUGGAACUGUUAGGAAAACUUCACUUCUUUGAUUCCUUGUCUUGCGAACUUGUUGACUUCGGGAUUCUAAACUUCUGUCUUUCUAUUCUCUCACAAAUGAUGAGGACACGCACAAUCGGAUCAGAUGACUAGACAUUUGCGCCCCUACUAGAGCCGCGAGAGGCAGAGGCUUGGGUAGAGGCUGAAGACGUCCACGUGGUACAGCCAGAGCGCCUGCACGAGCUGCUACAGAGGAGCCACCAGUAGCUCCAGUCGGAGCGUAGGCACUUGAGACAUCUGUUACUGCACCAGCUCUUCAGGAGACCCUUACCUAGUUUCUAAGCAUGUUCCGCACUUUAGCUCAGGUAGGGUUUAUCCCGCUUGCUCCUGCCACGUCUCAGGUCGGGGGAGGAGCACAAACUCCCGCUGCUUGUACCCCAGAGCAGCAGGUUCAGGUCGACCAAGUUCCAGAGGUCAUACUAGUACCGCCGGUAGCCCUAGUUCAGCCCGAGGGUAGGGCAACAAUUUCUAAGGAGAAAGAGCACAGGAUCGAGAGGUACAAAAAGCACCACCCUCCUACUUUCUUUAGCUUGGCAUUAGAGAAGGCCUAGGGUUUUCUUGAGGAGUGACACCGCACCCUCCGUACUAUGGGUGUUGCGGAGUAGAGUGGGAUUUCUUUCACUAUGUUCCAGCUUAGAGGAGCAACCUAUCAAUGGUGGCGUGCAUAUGAGUUGGGUAGUCCGGCCGAGGCAACUUCUCUCACUUUGACUCAGUUCUCGAAUAUGUUCUUGAGGGAGUAUGUUCUCUAGAGACUCAGAGAUACAUGACGCGCAGAGUUUGAGCAGUUGCGCUAGGGUUCUAUGACUGUGUCAGAGUAUGCGGUCAGGUUUAGUGAUUUGGUUAGGCAUGCACCAGCCUUAUUUUCUACAGUUCGAGAGUGGGUCCGUCGAUUUAUUGAGGGGUUCAAUCCCAAUAUCAGAUUUAGCAUGGCCCGAGAGUUGGAGAUGGACAUCACAUACCACCAGGUAGUGGGGAUUGCUAGGAGAUUAGAGGGUAUGUUGAUUCGGGAGAGAGAGGAGAGAAAUGCCAAGAGCUCUCGAGAGUCUGGCACUUAUAGUGGUACUCGUGCCUGUCACACCUCUUUUUUACCUACAACCCCGGAAAGGUAUAAGGGAGUUUUUCCAAUUUAAGUGACAAUCGAAACGGGAUUAUUUUAUUUUAAAAAAAUUCAGAGUCGCCACUUGGGAUAAUUUUAUGGUGUCCCAAGUCACCGGUUUAAAUUCCGAAUCGAGGAAAAGAUUGACUCUGUAUUACAGUCCGCGAACACAAAAAUUUGGGUAAGGAAUUCUAUUAAUCCGGGAGAAGGUGUUAGGCAUUCCCGGAUUCUAUGGUUCUAGCACGGUCGCUCAACUGUUAUAAUCGGCCUAUUUACUUGAUUUUAGUACAUUUUUUAGCCUAUGGUGCAAUUUUAACUUUAUAACCGCUUUUAUUUAAUUAUUUUUUUAGGAAGAUUUCAACGUUAUUUAAAACACAUCUUGAACCACGUCACAUAAAUCUACCCGCGGUCCCCGACAUAUUUUAUCUAACAUUGUUGAGAGUUGUAUUUGGGUCACAUAAAUGCACACCCAAGUUUAUGUAUCAUGACCAUGUCACGGGAACCGUACCCAUAGUCACGAUAUUUAUUAUUAAACGCGCCUAAAGCAAGCUACAGUGUAUUCAUUUCCUAAAAUUUGGGGUUAUAAAGGGUCAAAAGCUGCGAAAUUAUUGGGUGUCUUCUAUAUUCAAAAUCAUUACUGACUCAUAUCAUACUAAGAAACAAAAUCAAAAUAACAAACAUUUUAUACAAAAUCAUUUCGAGACAUGUCAGUAACCUAAGUAAAAAUUAUUUUGUAUCCAAACUUCAAGAGUAAAUGAUCCAUGAAGCCAUAUGAAUUGCAAACUUAGCAGAAACCAACUUACUUUAACUGAUAAGGAGAGUGCCAAAUCAACAGCUCCUCUCAAACCAAAGCAUAUGACGAUGGAUGCUUUCUUUCUCAAAAACUUUCCAAUUAUAUUGAUAAGGGAACUUUGUACAACAAAUCGUCUACGAAGUGAAUGGAAUGCGAAACCAACGCCGUCGACCUCGAAUGGAACCUCGACAAAGAACCAAUGGAAAUAGUCAUCGAAACUCAACCAAAGAACUCGAGACUCGCCGGAAAAAGGUUGUUAAACACUUUGGGGCGCCUUACUGUUUCAGCCCCCGUUUUUGUUCGCUGCUUUUGCGCCUCUAUUGCUUCAGUGUGUGACUAUGUGUGUGUUUAGUGCUACUGAUAUGAGGUCGAUGGAGUUCUUUGUUGAUGACUUCGACUACUUAAAAGGAUGUUCAAGAGUGAAGAAGUAGAAGUUCAGGGGGUGUUUUGAGGUUGAAGAUGGUUUGUUCUUUGAAGAGGAUGGUCUGUUAUGGUGGUUAUGGAUGGACUCCGGCGAGUUGGGUUGAGUCCGGCAACUUGGGGCAUAGUGUGUGAAGGAGACGAAGAAGGGGAGGGGGGGUGUUGAGGAAGACGACCAAAGGGGGGGUCUAUGUGAAUUGCGGUGCUGCUUUUCU